rnacentral:rRNA from 1 species
UGGGGAAUUUUGCACAAUGGGGGAAACCCUGAUGCAGCGACGCCGCGUGAUUUAGAAGGCCUUCGGGUUGUAAAAAUCUUUUGUAUGGGAAGAAAAUGACAGUACCAUACGAAUAAGGACCGGCUAAUUACGUGCCAGCAGCCGCGGUAAUACGUAAGGUCCGAGCGUUGUCCGGAAUCAUUGGGCGUAAAGGGUACGUAGGCGGAUAAGCAAGUUAGAAGUGAAAUCCUAUAGCUCAACUAUAGUAAGCUUUUAAAACUGCUCAUCUGGAGGUAUGGAAGGGAAAGUGGAAUUCCUGGUGUAGCGGUGAAAUGCGCAGAUAUUAGGAGGAAUACCGGUGGCGAAGGCGACUUUCUGGACUUUUACUGACGCUCAGGUACGAAAGCGUGGGGAGCAAACAGG